UACAGAGGGUGCGAGCGUUAAUCGGAAUUACUGGGCGUAAAGCGUGCGUAGACGGCUAUCUAAGUCGGGUGUGAAAGCCCCGGGCUCAACCUGGGAAUUGCAUUCGAGACUGCAAGGCUGGAGUACGGCAGAGGAGACUGGAAUUCCUGGUGUAGCAGUGAAAUGCGUAGAGAUCGGAGGAAGAUCAGUGGCGAAGGCGGCAUC
rnacentral:rRNA from 1 species